rnacentral:rRNA from 1 species
UGCGGUAUCCUGACCGUGCUAAGGUAGCAUAAUCAUUUGCCUUUUAAUUGAAGGCUAGUAUGAAUGGGAAGACGUAGAUUCAGCUGUUUCUAUAUUAUAAAUAAAACUUAAACUUUAGGUGAAGAUGCCUAAAUUUUAUAGAAAGACAAGAAGACCCUAUAGAGUUUUAGUUAAACCUACUAAUCUAUUGUAAUAUAACUUUGGUUGGGGCGACCUAGGAUUUUCAUAAACAUCCUACUAACUUACGAUAUUUUAUUCUUAUAAAUUGACCCUAAAACGGAUUAUCAGAAAUAACUACCUUAGGGAUAACAGGCUUAUCUUCCUAGAGAGCUCUUAUUGAUAGGAUGGUUUGGCACCUCG